rnacentral:rRNA from 1 species
GACGAACGCUGGCGGCGUGCUUAACACAUGCCAGUCGAACGGAAAGGCCCUGCUUUUGUGGGGUGCUCGAGUGGCGAACGGGUGAGUAACACGUGAGUAACCUGCCCUUGACUUUGGGAUACUUCAGGAAACUGGGGCUAAUACCGGAUAGGAGCUCCUGCUGCAUGGUGGGGGUUGGAAAGUUUCGGCGGUUGGGGAUGGACUCGCGGCUUAUCAGCUUGUUGGUGGGGUAGUGGCUUACCAAGGCUUUGACGGGUAGCCGGCCUGAGAGGGUGACCGGCCACAUUGGGACUGAGAUACGGCCCAGACUCCUACGGGAGGCAGCAGUGGGGAAUAUUGCACAAUGGGCGGAAGCCUGAUGCAGCAACGCCGCGUGCGGGAUGACGGCCUUCGGGUUGUAAACCGCUUUCGCCUGUGACGAAGCGUGAGUGACGGUAAUGGGUAAAGAAGCACCGGCUAACUACGUG